GUGUGUGGUUCUUAGAUGGUCCGCCGGCCCUGCUCUAGAGACGGUGCAGCUCAAGGAGUCAAAUGGUGUUUGGAGUGUUACUUGACCAAGAGAGUGGGAAAACCGAUACUAUUUAUAUGAAGUUGACGUGUAUCAUCCAACUAAGGCACAGAUUCUGAAAUGUUUAGCUGGUGACCUUUAUGCUAGAGGGUAUGUGGCUGUGCGUAUUUCAGUUAUGUAGUUCAGGGAGAGGAACUUUCCGCAGAAGAAAAAAGUUCAGGGAGAGGAAGAAACUAGCUUGUUGUUUAUUUGAUCAGCCUUUCUGCAAAUGGAGCGCGGACCUGGUUGGUUGACAUUAACAAUGAAACAUUGAAGCCAGCUUCCUGGGAUGAAUUGGCCGAUGAGAAGCCAAAACUUGAUUCCUGCUCUGACAUAACCAUCUACGAAUUGCACAUUCGUGAUUUUAGUGCCCAUGAUGGCACAGUGAACAUUGACUCUCGUGGAGGAUUUCGUGCAUUUGCAUACUAGGCCUCAGCAGGAAUGUUUGACUCAUGUGCAUUUGUUGCCAAGCUUUCAUUUUGCUGGUGUUGACGACAUUAAGAGCAACUGGAAAUUUUUCGGUAAGGAAAUAUUUCUCUUUAUAAAAGAUGAGUGUGAACUAGCAACAUUCCCUCCACGAUCAGAUAUGCA